GACGAACGCUGGCGGCGUGCCUAAUACAUGCAAGUCGAACGCAGUUGCGAACGGGUGAGUAACGUGUAGGUAACUGCCCCAACGUGGGGGAUAACUAUUGGAAACGAUUGCCAAUACCGCAUACUGUGGGAUGGCCCUGCGUUGUAUUAGCUAGUUGGUGAGGUAAAGGCUCACCAAGGCGACGAUACAUAGCCGGCCUGGGAGGGUGAACGGCCCCACUGGGACUGGAACACGGCCCCAACUCCUUCGGGAGGCAGCAAGAGGGGAACUUCGGCAAAGGGCGGAAGGCUUGCCGGACAACGGCGCGUGAGUUAAAAAAGGUUUCGGGUCGGAAAACUCUUUUUUUAGAGAAGCGGUAACUAACCAGAAAGGGACGGCUAACUACGUGCCAGCAGCCGCGGUAAUUC
rnacentral:rRNA from 1 species